AGCAGGGGUUCAGAUAAAAAAUCGGCAGCUGGCAGCAGGAAGUGGCUGCCAUUGACAGCCGGAAGGCAGUAACUGUCAGCCGGAUGGUAGGCGGGACCUGCCAUUCGGUGGGAGCCAAUCAGUAUCGACCAACGUGGGCACAACCAAUCAGAUAUAACUGCACCCAAACGCUUCAGUAAUGGUUGCGAUUGAUCAAACGUUGCCAGAUGCUGUCCUGUUGAAAAUUCUUCUUUACGUGAUCCUGGAGGAGGGGUGAUGCUACAUUACUAAGUCCGUCUUUGGUUUGUUCCAAAUUCAGAAGUCUGCUGUACUGUAUACAGACUCCUUUCGAAAGAGGGCACAAUCCAGCUGGCUUGACUGAGUAUCUUCUUUUACAUAUUUGAUUAGAGGUUUAAAAAGGUGGAACAAAAUGGAGAACAAGUCUAAGCCAUGUCAGGAAUUCAACAAUGUACACCCUGCAGACACUGCGACGAGUUUACAACAACUGCUUACCAGGUCACUGCAGUCACCCGGAUAGAGUAUGUAUCUAGACCAGAUGGUGGAUCGCACCUAGAAAGGACCUCUACAGCCCUGAAAGACAGCGGAGACCAGGACAACUAGAGCCCCAGAUACAGAUCCCCUCCUCCUCCAAUUUCCGGGUAUUAGCGACAGCUGCCAUCCGGUUUUAUUGGCAGCCACUUCCUGCUGCCAGUGACAGCCACUUCCUGCUGACAGCUGCCGAUUUUUCGCUGAACCCCCUCUCACCUCUUCAGUCUGAACCCCAAGGCAAUAGACGAGAUGCAGUAGCUACUGACAGACAGAGCACGACCAGAGGCGUCCGGAGACCAAGCAGGUGUCACCCCUUGUAAAAUGAUCAGAAAAUAAUUGUCGAUUGCCAUGUGACAUUAAUUAUUUCCUUCAGUGCCACAGAUGCCCAUGGGACUAGUGGGCAGUCAGGCAGGCGGUGUGAGCGUGGCUAUAUUAUCCUAACUGUCCUGCUCCAUGCGAGUGUACCAUGGGGCCAGAAGACGAACAGACUAUCACUGGCCUCUCAGCCAGCAGACUGCACAGCAACAAGAGCUCUGGGAAAACUGACCAACCGGGGGCAAACAACCAGACCAUUUGUCUGCUUCUCACUCAGAUAUACAUUUAUUUUUAAACUGGGGUGGGAGAAAUCAGCAGAGUUUGGCAGGAGAAAGUUGCCAAAGCUGUAGCUGGGGACUUUAGGCCUUGUGGGGAGGAAAGCAGCUCUCACUCUGGAUUAUACGUCCUGGCUUUUAACGGCAUGUUCACAAAUUGAUGCCGGGCUCCUCGGGGGCUGCAGCAGGAGCAUUAAAUGGCACUGAAAUAUUCAUAUGUGAGUGCAUUUAGCUGAGCGCAGCUGAUGGGCGGCUCCCAGGAGGGGCUACAGGGAAGUGCUGCUGGGCUCCGAUCCCUUACCCCCACCCACCCAUACAGACCCUCAUGCCCUGUGUAUGGGUGAGGGGAGUACAGAGCCACUGAGCUGUUUUUGACAGAGCUCUCUAAGAAACCAUCCAGGAUGAUCACUGAAGUGCAACUCUUUUAAAAGUAUGUUCAGUUGUGAGACUGUUUGUUUGUAUGUAUUCCCUACAGACGGUUUAUUGUGGGGUGACACAAUGAUCAUAGAGUUAACCCUGCAAAAAAUUUUUUUAUGAAGAAUAUCUUUAUGAACAACAUUUAGCUAGUUAAAACAAUAUCUUUCAGAAACAACAGUUUAUUAAGUUAGAGAAAUUUAGU